rnacentral:tRNA from 1 species
GGAGACGUGUCAGAGCGGUCUAACGUACCUCUUUGCUAAAGAGGCAGGGGUGUCAAAGCCCCUCGCGAGUUCGAAUCUCGCCGUCUCCGCCA